rnacentral:rRNA from 1 species
AUUGAACGCUGGCGGCAUGCCUUACACAUGCAAGUCGAACGGCGGCAUGGAGAGCUUGCUCUCUGAUGGCGAGUGGCGAACGGGUGAGUAAAGCAUCGGAACGUACCGUGUAGUGGGGGAUAACGUAGCGAAAGUUACGCUAAUACCGCAUACGCACUGAGGUGGAAAGCAGGGGAUCGUAAGACCUUGCGCUAUACGAGCGGCCGAUGUCAGAUUAGCUAGUUGGUAGGGUAAAGGCCUACCAAGGCGACGAUCUGUAGCGGGUCUGAGAGGAUGAUCCGCCACACUGGGACUGAGACACGGCCCAGACUCCUACGGGAGGCAGCAGUGGGGAAUUUUGGACAAUGGGGGGCAACCCUGAUCCAGCCAUGCCGCGUGAGUGAAGAAGGCCUUCGGGUUGUAAAGCUCUUUCGGCCGGGAAGAAAUCGCACAGGCUAAUACCCUGUGUGGAUGACGGUACCGGCAUAGGAAGCACCGGCUAACUACGUGCCAGCAGCCGCCGCCG